UACAGAGGUCUCAAGCGUUGUUCGGAAUCACUGGGCGUAAAGGGCGCGUAGGCGGCCCUCUUAGUCGCGUGUGAAAGCCCCGGGCUCAACCUGGGAACGGCGCGCGAAACGGGAGGGCUGGAGUUCGGGAGAGGAGAGUGGAAUUCCCAGUGUAGAGGUGAAAUUCGUAGAUAUUGGGAAGAACACCGGUGGCGAAGGCGGCUCUCUGGACCGAGACUGACGCUGAGGCGCGAAAGCGUGGGGAGCAAACAGG
rnacentral:rRNA from 1 species